GAUAAGUGAUCAUUUAACACAUGGGUGUUAAGUUCAUUCUUGCUGCAAAAGAAGGCUAUUGUAUCUCCUGACCCUGAAAGCAAGAUGAAGUCACUGAGACACCAAAGGUUAAUUGCUUGCCCAAAGCCAUGUAGCAACUUGGUUGAAGUUACUUUAGUGUCAUGAAGCUCCACAUAUAUACUUUUAGCAAAAUCAGUAGUCACCCCAUGCAGAUGAAGAGAUGGUAAUUAGAGAUGGGACAGACCCCAACAUAUCCUUCAUUUGAAGAUAGAAUAAAUUCGGCGAGAUACCUAAUUAUUAUCAUCUACUUUCACAAAAACAUAUGUGAUUUUUCCCCCUACCCAAAUGUUUUAGUGAAAACUGCAACUGUGCAUUAAAAGGCAGUUUUGCAUGCAUAUAUUC